AAAAAAAAAAAAAGGUAUAGUUUGCCAAAUGUUUAGAAUUUGUUUUACGGGUUACAUGAAAACUAGUUUUCCAAUGGAAUUCAUGGUCGAAGCGCAUGCCAUGAUUGGAAGGAGAUGGAAUUCAUGGUCAGAGCUCAUACCAUGAUCGGAAGGAGAGAGAGAGAGGGGGGGGAGAGAAAUGUUUAUUUUUUAAUGUUAAAUUAUU
rnacentral:misc_RNA from 1 species